UGGCGAACGGGUGAGGAACACGUGAGAAACCUGCCUUUCAUUCUGGGAUAACACCGGGAAACCGGUGCUAAUACCGGAUACUCCAUCUUGGCGGCAUCGCCGAGCUGGGAAAAAAUUUUGAUGAAAGAUGGUCUCGCGGCCUAUCAGCUAGUUGGUGGGGUAAUGGCCUACCAAGGCGACGAUCCAUAGCUGGUCUGAGAGGACGGCCAGCCACACUGGGACUGAGACACGGCCCAGACUCC
rnacentral:rRNA from 1 species